GGAAGUUACGUAGGUGAGUAUAAUGUACAAACAGAAGGAUCACUCCAAUGCUCCUUCUCUCAGGCCUUCUCUCAGGAGGUACUUGCUGGGGGUGACUGGACAGGAAUGAGUCUAUAAAGAAGAACCCAUGCCCACAAGCCCAGCACCCACGUCCUCAGGAAACCCUUACCAGAGUCUAGGGACCAGAUUUGUGCUGUCCACAUACUCUCCCCACAUACAGGCCUCUCCACCAAUCACUAGAGCCUUCUGCUGAGCGCCACCUGAGAAAACAAGCAACAACAGGCUGCUGGGUACAAGGGGAGUAACCCUAGGGUUUCUACCACCUUCCCAAUGUAGCCCUCUCUUCAAACAGCUCAUCUCAUCUAACCUGAAAGGUCUAGCCCAGACCCUCCUGUCUCCCGCUCUGUGCACCAGCUUCAUCUGGUCAGCAAGGAGAGCUCCCUGCUUUCACCUUCAAAUUCCAGGGGCUCCACCACGUAGAGAUCUCUCCAGUCAGGGCCAUAAGUUAUGUGAUUCAGGUACCAGGGGGCAGAGAGCAGGGCACGCAAGCCGGCUCUGGUAAUUAGCUCCAGCUCCUUCAAAUAAUUUACUGGUACCUCUUCUCGCCAUACCUGGAUGAUUGUAUCUGGAGGAACCUGUCACAAAAGGUCAAAUGGCAGUGAUGGCACAUAGCUGAGGAGAUUUCUGGCCCACAUUCUUAUGCAAGCAAACCAGGCCAAGGGGUAUGUGGCCGCUCUGUUCCCAAGCAGCAAAGUAUUUCUCCGUGAUUCCUAACUAUUGAGUUCCUAGCCCGGUGCAGAAGCCAGGGAUUCUACUGGUCCUAGGAGUCCUCCCAGCUGCUUCCUCUUUCAGUCCUCCUAUAGCCUCCUUGUCCACAAUGAGAUAGUAAUACUGGCUGUAAGCUAAGGGAGGCAAGCAGUGGGGCCCAGGAGACUCGUCAAGAGCUACCAUGUCAAAGAAUCCCCAGAUGUUUCUGAGGAUGAGAUAAAGUUCCCAUAGAACCCCUCCAUUUGGCAAGAGGCUGGGCUCUAACUGAUCAAAAAUGAAGAAGGUAACCCUGCUCCCAGACCUGGAAGACCUUAGUCUAUGACUCAGAAAGGAAAAUCCAACCCAGCAUGCCAGUCUCAGGAAUCCUAAGUAACCCAGCAGCAGAAAUAACUCUUGAUCAGUUUGUGCUGAGGGAAGAUAGACAGAAGCUCUGACACUCACACCCAGGUCUCAGACUUCUGUGACCUUUCUGGAGGAGAGAAUGGAGAGAUGGCCCCCGGUGCUCUGAACAGUAAAGCCUAAUCUAAACUCCAGGUGGACCAGUCUGUGCAGAGGCAGGAAAGGCUUGAGAGACCGAAGGGAAGCACUACAGGUGGCUCCUUCUCUCUAUGCCCCUGGCUCACCUUUACUUUAUUAUCAAACACUUCCUGCCACACCACAUAACCUUUGCCAUAGGCAGAGACGAUGUUCAGCAGUCUGGAGAGUAAAGAAAGGGUCUGGUCAGCUCAAAUACGUUCUAGGCUGUUGGUGCCAGUAGGGGUUCAGGCUGGCUAGGGGCCCAUUCCUAAUUGGGCAGUGUCUUCCCCAGUUGGGAGCUGACUACUCCAAAGCUGAAAGGAUAGAACAAAGUACCCUUUCAGGGGCCCAGAGGGUGGUCAAGCAGGGCCUGGUCCUGGUAUGAAAAGAGAGGACCCCAUAAGGAGGUAAUCCCAAGGGACCUUGCCCACCCUCUUUCCUUCCUCACGUCUGGAUGUAGAAGGACUCCAGCUGCUUGAAGUCAUUACCAAAGCCUUUCGUCUUCAUAAAGGCCUGGAUAUCUGGGUUGGACCUCCUGAAUCCCAAGAGAAAAUGGAGAUUAAUUCUUUCAACAGCCUCAAAAACUUGGCGAUUAGUCACCUGGCCUCCCACAACUUCUUUUUUUCACUUGAAAAACUAAUCAACUUUGGAUCUCAGAGCCCCCAAAUACGGCAGGUGUGGCUGAACAAAGCUGUGUGAUGGGGGCCAUUGACACAGGCUGAGAAAGGAUGAGUUUGGACCUGAAGAGCUUUAAAUUCAAACUCUCAACAAGAACGCACAUUAACUUGUCUCGACUACAGCAUGUGGGUUUGAGGUCUCGGUUUGGGGCUCUGGCACACUGGAUUCUGGCUUCUCUGUUUAACCCCCUACCCACGCAUAUUUUGCUUUUCCCUUAAGAUUGAUUCUUUAUUCCAGAUUGGUACAAGUGUUGCUGUUACCUGCUGCACUUCCCUCCCCCAACAACGUUUAUAUUUUGCUCACAUUUCCUCCUGGAAUGUUUUCUCCCUCCUCUACCGCUCAAAAAAGCCAACUAUUUCCCCAGAUCCAGUUCUAGUGCCCACUUCUCAGAGAAGCCCAUCAACCUCUCUUGAGCUAAGUAAAUCUGAGGGUUUGAACCUUACAGUUUAAUACCUAGUAAACAAUUACAAAAAAAAAAAAAAUGCAUAUAGUAUUCUCAAAUUCACCUAUGUCUUCACUCUUCAACCAGACUAUUUUAAGUCUUCAAAAGUGGGAAUUAUUUUUCCCUAUCCUGGAUUUUCCCAGGACAAUUCUGUGCCCAUAUCUGGUUCUUCCAUAUGUAUCUCAAGGACAUGACAGGAGGAAGGGAUAGUUUCAUAUUCACAACCUUGCCAAAAUCAGGUAGGGCCUCAAUACAGGUAAGAGGAAAGACCUAAGACUUGAGCCAUCUGGACUGAGACUGUUCUCAGAAGUUAGCCCCUGAGGAGUACCUGAGAUAGGUAGCCUCUCAGGAGCUAACCUCUAUUCUGAGUGAGCAAUUCCACACAGGCAGCAAUGGGAAAACCAAAGGGGAUCAUACCAGCAGGUGAAAUCAACCUCAUCUCCUCCAAGGUGAAGAUAAAAAUCUGGGAAGACAGAGCUGACCUCCAAGAAAAAUGUGCUCAUGAAUUCAUAGGUAGUAUUGAGAAUGGGAUUCACUGGUCCGAAGGUGCCAGAGGGACGAGACCCAGAGUAGCAAGGAGUCAAUAAUCUAGGGAAACCUAAGCCGACAAAGAACCCCACAUAAGUGUCACAAAUACAUAGAAACCCCCCCCCCCACAGUCAUAUACUUAAGGACAUUAAGUUGCACAAAGUAAGAUAUUGUGCUCAUAAAAACUGCAAUGCACAUAAGUAGGAACAUCAAGCACUCACAUACACUGGUGAACAUGAACUUUUAGUCACAGUCAAAGAAAUAAAAAUAUAUUCACUAUCAUGAGUCUGGGUUACAGCCAGACUGCGAUCAACAUACACACUGUUGCCUUGACAUAUUGCUUCCAGCAGGGGUCACCCUUGCUCCCAAAGGCUGCUCUCCUACUGCCUUUAGGCAGGAAAGCAGAGAGCCUGAUGCUGCCAAACUGACAAAAUCUUUCUUCCGCUCUAGGGCACAAAUUGCAAGAGCAUCAUUAAGACAAAGGCAUCUGAGAAGAAUCUGCCCAGAGGUUAAUACUAAGAAGUGGCCUCCUUUGUCCAAAAUAAAUUCUGCCUAUCUAAAUUCCCAGGUGGAAGUUAUUGAUGGAAACCAUUCUUCCAGGGACCAAGGCCAGGCACACCACAUCCAAGAGUCAAUGCCCUGAAGCCCACUGAGGGGGACCAGUAGGCUCCCUCUAUCCGACAUUAUUCUUACCUGGUCCCCAGGACAGAGUGUGGCCAGGAGUGUCAAACUCUGCCAACACACGGAUACCCCGAAGCCGUGCAUAUUCAAUCACUUCUUUCACAUCUUGUGCUGUGUAGACAUGGGUGACAGGAUUGUAGGACCCCUGAAAGGCAAGAGACACCCAAAACAAUCUCACUUCCUGAAGGCUAGCAGAGUAGAAGACACUCAAAAUGCCUUCAGGAUUCCCUGGAUAUCAGAAAAUCUACCUACAGGGUUUUUUUGUUGUUGUUUUAAUGUUUAUUUAUUUCGGAAACAGAGAGAGACAGAGCAUGAGCGGGGGAGGGGCAGAGAGAGAGGGAGACAUAGAAUCCGAACCAAGCUCCAGGCUCUGAGCUGUCAGCACAGAGCUCAACGCGGAGCUUGAACUCACAGACCACGAGAUCACAACCUGAGCUGAAGUCGGACGCUCAACUGACUGAGCCACCCGGGCGCCCCAACCUACACAGCUCUUUGGUAUCAGGGACUAUCUCCAAGGACCUUUAUCAGAAUUUCCCACAAAGCUAUCACAUCUAUUGCUUUAUCUGAGUGUCAAAAUGCCAGUGAGACAACAAGGUAGGUAACAGAAUAUAAACAAACAAACAACACCAGGAGAGAUUAUCUCCUAGUUGUCACAGUGAAAAUUAAUGCAAAGUUUGACUCAAACUUAGGUCUCCUGAUUCCAAAUCCAGUGCCCUUCCUCUAAGUCAGUAUGUCUCUAAAACUGGCUGGUUAGGAUGAGAGCCAGUGUCCUUGCCAGCAGGGCCAUAGCCAGGCUCAGACAUCAGCUCAUAAACUUGGUCUUGGAGAAAUUGAGACAUACCUUUCUGGUGAGCUCUGGAAAAGUGAAGCUCUCAUAUGGGAAGGAAGAGUCAUCGACCAGAUGCCAGUGGAACACGUUGAAUUUAUUGUAUGCCAUGGCGUCCUGUAGACCAGAGCACAUGCUAUGAGCCCACCACAGCUUCUCCACUUUCCCAAGGUAGACAUACAGGCAGGCUGCUCCACAUACCUCAAUAGGCCCAGCCUGCCCCAGCUUCUUGAUAAGUGUUCAUAGGGUCUAUCUACCAAAUCUUCCGACCAGGGAGUGCCUGCCAUAGAGGGAUGACCUAGCAUAUUCCUUCUUCUGCCAAGGCACAUCCGAAGAUGGCUGACAGAGGCAGCGCCUCCUCUUUUUGAGAUGAAUUUUCAGCCACCGGAAGGAUGGCUGAAACUAUGUGGUACACUGGUCUUCCAAAAGCACCACAGUACCUUGAAGACUAAUACUUCUUCCUGCCAUUUGUUUUAGGUUGUCUGACUAACGUUUAUCCAAACUGUGAAGUCUAUUGUUGAAUUUAGUAAUCUCAUAGCCUAUAAACCUCAGAGCCAAGACUGACAGAUGUGUCUACUGCUUUGAUUCCAUCAGAGGAGCAAAGGAAAAGGUAGAUACAUGAGUUGGAUCAGCAACUGUAAGAUAAGACUGCUCAUGAAACUCAAAAUAG
rnacentral:lncRNA from 1 species